rnacentral:rRNA from 1 species
GCAGCAGUGAGGAAUAUUGGUCAAUGGGCGAGAGCCUGAACCAGCCAAGUAGCGUGCAGGAUGACGGCCCUAUGGGUUGUAAACUGCUUUUAUGCGGGGAUAAAGUGAGGGACGUGUCCCUUUUUGUAGGUACCGCAUGAAUAAGGACCGGCUAAUUCCGUGCCAGCAGCCGCGGUAAU